rnacentral:rRNA from 1 species
CCUACGGGAGGCAGCAGUAGGGAAUCUUCCGCAAUGGACGAAAGUCCGACGGAGCAACGCCGCGUGAGUGAUGAAGGUUUUCGGAUCGUAAAGCUCUGCGCCAGGGAAGAACGCUAGGGAGAGUAACUGCUCUCAAGGUGACGGUACCGAGAA